UUGACCUCGAAUCAGGUAGGAAUACCCGCUGAACUUAACAAUCAAACCCGGGG
rnacentral:rRNA from 1 species